CAACACAAUGUUACGUUUUGCCAACGGGCACCAUCCCACAACCAUUUUAAACUUACACAGUCAGAUAUUACCAGUGAAACUAUAAUAUCUGCUACACAAUGACAAGACCAACAGACCCUGAAGCAUGCGCUUACGAUGCUUUAUUUAAAGGAGGGUAUGGAGCUCUGUUGGGUACACUUAUGUCCAUUUGUUGUACGAAACGACGGCGAUGGCCCGCAUUUGUGGGGUCUGGUGUUGGCGUUGGAUACUCAUUAGCAAAUUGUCGGAGUUAUCGGGUUUCAAAGAUUUACUAAGGUUGAGCUAGCAUGUGUUGCGUCGCGUAGGUCGAUUCCUUAUAGUCGAUAUUAUCUUAGGUCUGGUAAUACUGGGAGUGACAUAAUGACAGUGACAAAUCCGCUGUAAUGACAAUGACAGUGUCACUGAAACCGACCAUUUUCCUGUCGUAUAAUUUUUCACACCGAAUUAUGUAAAAGCCACAAAAAUCCCAAUAAUCUUGUUUUUCGGUGAAUGUUUUAACCAUCAAAUACUAUAACACCUAUAGUAAAUCUGAAUUUAUCAAUUUGUGGUGAAAUAUAAACAAAGUUCAUAAUGGCUAAAGAAAAAGAAAAUCCCGAAGAUAUAUACCGAAAAAAACUGGACAUGUGCAUUACAGAUGCCAUCAUAAAAGGAGGUGGGGGCUUACUACUGGGUGGCUUGGCGUCGGUUCUUAUAUUUAAGAGGAGGUGGCCCAUCACAACUGGUUUAGGCAUAGGCAUGGGUAUUUCUUUCGCCAA